AUUGAACGCUGGCGGCAUGCUUUACACAUGCAAGUCGAACGGCAGCACAGGGAGCUUGCUCCUGGGUGGCGAGUGGCGAACGGGUGAGUAAUGUAUCGGAACGUGCCUGGUAGUGGGGGAUAACUACUCGAAAGAGCGGCUAAUACCGCAUGAGAUCUUUGGAUGAAAGCGGGGGACCUUCGGGCCUCGUGCUACUGGAGCGGCCGAUAUCAGAUUAGGUUGUUGGUGGGGUAAAGGCCUACCAAGCCUGCGAUCUGUAGCUGGUCUGAGAGGACGACCAGCCACACUGGGACUGAGACACGGCCCAGACUCCUACGGGAGGCAGCAGUGGGGAAUUUUGGACAAUGGGCGCAAGCCUGAUCCAGCAAUGCCGCGUGCAGGACGAAGGCCUUCGGGUUGUAAACUGCUUUUGUACAGAACGAAAAGUCUCUGGCUAAUAUCUAGAGAUCAUGACGGUACUGUAAGAAUAAGCACCGGCUAACUACGUG
rnacentral:rRNA from 1 species